GACGAACGCUGGCGGCGUGCCUAACACAUGCAAGUCGAGCGAGUAAAUCUCCUUCGGGAGUGUAGCUAGCGGCGGACGGGUGAGUAACGCGUGAGCAACCUGCCUUAAACAACGGGAUAGCCUCGGGAAACCGGGAUUAAUACCGUAUGAGACCCCGCCUUCACAUGAAGAAGAGGUUAAAGAUUUAUCGGUUUAAGAUGGGCUCGCGUCUGAUUAGCUAGUUGGUGAGAUAAAAGCCCACCAAGGCAACGAUCAGUAACCGGCUUGAGAGAGUGAACGGUCACAUUGGAACUGAGACACGGUCCAAACUCCUACGGGAGGCAGCAGUGGGGAAUAUUGCACAAUGGGGGAAACCCUGAUGCAGCGACGCCGCGUGAGCGAUGAAGGAAUUCGUUUCGUAAAGCUCUGUCCAAGGGGAAGAUAAUGACAGUACCCUUGGAGGAAGCCCCGGCUAAAUACGUGCCAGCCGCCGCAGUAA
rnacentral:rRNA from 1 species